AGCAUCUACUGCCUCCACUCCCGAGGCCAGAAUAAUGCUCGGUGUCUCCUCUUGGAACCCUCAACGCUCAGGCCUGUCUUGCUCUCCCCCCCGGACCUCCUGCUGCAGCAUCGCCGCCUACUCUACAGUGGGGGUCCGGCAUGAUCCCGUCUGCGAGCCCCUGGCAUCCAUGCCCCGCUUGGGCCGGAAGCACAACCCAGGCAUUUGGUGAUCAAAGAAAACCUACUCUGACUAAUUGACUUGAUGCAGAAAGAGAGCCAUAAUCCCAGAACUGAAGAAAUGAUGAAUGUGAUUAAUGAACUGCAGCGAGCCCACAAAACUGCAAAUGAGGAGCUUCGGAAAAGCCAGGCUGAAAGGGAAGCAUUGAAGAAAGAACUAGAUGAAUUGAACACGGAAAAGACCCAUCUGGAGGACAUCUUGAGCAUGAAGCAAGAAACCCUGAAACUCCUUCAACAGCGCUGCAACGAGGAAGAAAACAAAAUCCAGAGUCUACAGGCUAUGUCUCAGGACUGCAUCCGGAAGAUAGCGGAUCUGAAUUCUAAGAUUCAGGAAGAGAAGCUAAGAAGGAGGAAGCAAAGGUUGGACUUUGAAGAGCAGCUAGAGGAGCUGAUGGGGAAGCACAAGGAUGUAUGGGGAUUGAAUACACCAGAGACGCUGGCUCAAGAAAUCAACAGUACAGCCAGUAGCAAGGAACAGCUUCUACUGGAGGAAAAGCUAAUUCAGGAGAAAUUGGAUGCCAUGGAGAAACAACUACCUGGACUGCCUCACCCCAAGGCCAAGGCUGAGGCUCUGGCUGUCCACAGUGUGGACACCUUCCUUCGCAGUGAGGAAGCUGCUGCUGCCAUGCACCUGUUUGAGGAGGAAAACAAGAAGGCCAUGCAGUUCCUGGAGGCAGCCUCUCAGCAUUACCACCAGCUGCAGCAGAAGUACUACAGACUAAAGAUGGAGCUGGAAGCUGGUGGCCAACGUGAUAUCAGAGGGUCCAAGGGGAGCAACAUAGAGACAGCUGCUGAAGGGGGCAGUGAUGUGGUUGCUGAGGGGGCCCUGUCAGAGGAGGCCAGUAUUGACCGCAGUCCAGGGAAACGUGUCUCAGUCUUGUCCUAGAGCCUCACAGGGAGCUCACCCACUUGCCCCAGGAGGGAGCUGCAGCCUGGUCUGAACCUAGCCUGGAGAGGCAGUGUUUGGCCUUUUGGCCCCAUCACAACGAUGGGGGGCCCUCCGUCACAAUCUGCCAAACCCAGCUGUGGACUAUGCCUACCACCUGCCUCCUUCAUUACUACUCUCAUGCUGCUGAAUGGAGCUGGAGAAAAUCUCAACACCAUGCUUACUGGCUUCACUGCAGCAAGCCUAUUUCCUGACUUUGGACUUGAUAGUAGGGCUGGGCUCCGUGAACUUCUGGAGAGAAUAUUUGGGCUGACCUCAUGUCCUCUAGGUUCUUGUCGCUGCUUUCUUGGGGUAUCGAGUGUUGUGUUAUUCCAGGCUCUCAAGGACAGCUCAGGUUGAGGACCUUCAGGUUUUCAGUGUUUCCAGAAUGGUCUGAUCCACGGCAAAAGCUGAUCAGUUCCUUCCUUGUCUGAGCUCUGCAAAUUCCUGACCCGGCUUUGAGUCUGAGCAACAGAUCUAUUGGCUUGCCUGUGGUUGGACUCAGACACUAUUAGCCAACUUGAAAGCCUUGUAGGUUCAGAAUGAGAGAAGUGCAGGCUCCCUUUUAAUCUGGGAUUCCUGUUCUGAUUAUUCUACUGCUGCCUUCAGAUUUGGCUCGAGAUCCCAUUCUAAUCUACAUAGUUGCUGAUUGCUUCUACACUUGCUUCUUGCUCAGUACUUAGUCUAACGUCCACAACUGUUCCUCUCUGUGAAACACCACCCCUAGCUGCAGUUUUCCUCGGUCUACCCAGAAUCUGACCCAGAACUGGGUAGCGAGCAACAGAGUUGCCUAUUCCUAGGCUCCUGCACAAGGUCAGGAUCUGGGACUGUUAGGGGCGGUCGGCCCUAGACGCCUGAGCGGAUAGGAACCUCCCUGGGAGGUGAGAGCCCCCAAUCCCAGAAAGACACGGCUCCCUACACGGGGUACGUGUAAGGAUGGGAUUGGGCGAGACUCUUUGCUCCAUACAGGUGGCAGGUUUCGCCCUCGGGGCGGAUUGGGGUGGCCACCCGGAAGACAGACCCUAUAUAGACCAACGCCCCAGCUUGCUCGGGGGAUUCCUCCGCAAUUAAUAAAACAUAUGCCUCCCGAA